rnacentral:lncRNA from 1 species
GUCCGUCGCGGGAGCUGAGCCCACGAGGCCCUGGAGCGCGGUGGCUGGGCCCGUAGCGCCACCUGGCGGCGGAUCAGGACCCCGCGCCCUUGCGUCCCUGGAAGUGGGAGAAGGGGCAGGGGGCUCCACCCUGCACCACCACCCCAGCGCGCUCCCGAGGCCGUUCCCCAAGGAUGCGCGGGCCCCAGGGAGAGCGACGCUGCCCGCGCGGCGCUUUCCUGGCCGCCUGGAGUCCGGGAACGGCGAAUCCCGCUCGCAGCGGACCGAGGCGAGGCGCAGCGGGACGGGAUCGGUGGGAACGGAAACAGCGGUCACCCGGAAGCCCAGAACCAGCGAGUACGCGGUGCAGUGUUCGCUUCCCAAACGUUGUGGGACAAACGCCUUUCAACUGUUUCUGGACGCCCGUGGGCCGGCGUUACCCUGUUGAGAGGGAAGAGAGAAGCCCCUCCCAUUCGCUUCUACUGGGGCUUGUUAAGCCAUCGCCUUGGGGGCCGGCUGAUCAGCGGCAGCCAGCAGCCAGCGGCUUCUGCAGGCAGGAGCAAGGACAGCCUGUGGCUACUGCAGCCCCACUGCCCGGCCACACUUCAUGACGGGAGAGUGCCUUGGGAGGAAUGUAAAGGCAAACCGAAGGAAACUGGCAAAUGCAUGAAGUCAGUCUCCAUGGUGCGCUUCCACUCCAGGGACUGUACGAGAGGAAAAAAAGGUGCUUCAUAUCCCAACCAAAAGUAUUCUCUGUCUGAGGACCAUUGCCCAAGUGUGAAGUAGGAGACUUGUGCAAUUCAAAGGCACCCAUGCGAUGCUCGUGCGAAGCUCUUUUCUCAGCCAGGCACGACAGGUAUGGAGCCGGCCCUGGGAAGUGGGAUCUAGAAUGACAACCCCUGGCACAGGGCUAAGGAGCUUUAGGAGUGGUGAAAUCUCAUUGUAUCACUGCAAACAGAAGCUGCAUCCCUGCAUGGGAAGCAUUAGGUCACCUCCCAGGCAGGAGCAAACAUUUGGUGGGAAGGACUAGGAGGUUGGCUGCUUGCUCUUCUCUUUCAGCAGUGACAUCUCCACCGUGCUUGUCCCACGUCUCCAGAAAGGUGGUUCCAGGUACAAAAGCUCAAGUGGACUGGAGGCUCCCAAAGCUUCUCCCCGUGCCAUCUCCCCACUGGCUGCUGGGUCCAGUGGUGGCCGCCCCUUGGGUACUAGGAACUCCUAGUUCUACAAUGAGAAGCUGCAAGGUACAGCUGUAAGUUUUGUCCUCAUGCUCACCCCCUUAUGCUGUCUCCUCCAAUAAUGCAUGUGAUUUGGUCUCUACAGGACUCCCAGAGGCCCAUGGACUGGAGCUGUUAAUGUCCUGCAGAUAGGAGCCACUCUCUCGCUGUGAUCACCAAGGUACCCAGGGCCUCUGGAGGCCACAAAGAAUGGAUAAUUGCAACCCACAGGCCUCCUUCAGAUUUCCUCCAAGCCCUUCUG